rnacentral:misc_RNA from 1 species
AGGACUCAACACUAUAAAAGAAGAGCGUUUCUCUCAGCUAAGUAAGAAGUCGAUUUACACUCGCUGCAAUCAUGAGGGCUCUGGUGAUUCUGGUCGCUGUAUCCUGUUGCUCAGCACAGCUGGUGUUGCCGUACACGGCUCCCUGGGUGCUGCCUCAAGCGAAGCUGAUCACUACCCCUGAACUGAAGACUGACCUCAAGACUGUAUCCUUGGCCUCCCCUUACAUCCAUCCCUUUGGACAUCCCUUCGUGGCUUCCCCCUAUGCCUUCCAUCACGCUGCCUAUCCCUACAUCCUCAAUGCCGACUCUACUCUCAAGGCCACAGAGUUCCCCUACAUCUACCAAGAGGCUGACCAAGAACCAGCUGUAGAACAAGCACGUCGUCGUCGCCGUGAUGUCGAGAUCCCCCUCCCGUACCUGCAUGCCGUCCCCACAGUCACCAAGCAGACCGUAGAGACCAAGCAGUUCGAGCCAGUCGACGCCAACACCCCCGCCGACACCACUAAGAUCGAGCUCACCACAAAGGAACACGAGAUCUCCGUCCCCGCCGUCAAGUACGUGCAGCCCGUCGUCAACGUCAAGCCCGUCACCUACACUGCUGUGUCCCACGCCGCCCUUCCCUACGCCCACGGUCUUCCCUACGCCCACGGUCUUCCCUACGCCCACGGUCUUCCCUACGCCUACGGUCUUCCAUACGCCCAUGGUCUUCCCUACGCCCACGGCCUUCCCUAUGGUCUCCCAUACGCUAACUACCCUGGCCUCGUCGGUGCCCCCGUCAUCAAGGUCGACGAAGAGUAACUCCAACUUUCCUGUCGCCCUUCAACCCUACUCACAAAAAAACGACACUUAGUGACGUAAACUCGUAUGUUGGAUUCUCCUUUGAAUCAACACAUGCAUUGUGUUUACACCAAUCUGAGUGAAACUAAACAAAAUAAAGUUGAGAUAACAGUUCCCGAAAGUGAAAAUAAACAAUUCAAAAUUGCAUCUAGCGAAAAAUACGAUAUUGAAAUAUCAUCUUACUGCAAAAUUGCAGUCGGUAAUGUGGUAAAUUCAAAGACUUCAACUCUUUUGAAAUAAAGAAAUCAAAAUCA